CCUACGGGAGGCAGCAGUGGGGAAUAUUGCGCAAUGGGCGAAAGCCUGACGCAGCGACGCCGCGUGAGGGAUGAGGGUCUUCGGAUCGUAAACCUCUGUCAGCAGGGAAGAACGGUCACUGUGCUAAUCAGCAGUGAAUUGACGGUACCUGCAAAGGAAGCACCGGCUAACUCCGUGCCAGCAGCCGCGGUAAUACGGAGGGUGCGAGCGUGAAUCGGAAUUACUGUGCGUAAAGCGCUCGUAGGCGGUAUGUCAAGUCAAGGGGGAAAUCCCCGCGCUCAACGUGGGAACUGCCUUUGAAACUGCAAGGCUGGAGUGCGGGAGGGGCAGGCGGAAUGCCUGGUGUAGCGGUGAAAUGCGUAGAUAUCAGGAGGAACACCGGCGGCGAAGGCGGCCUGCUGGACCGCGACUGACGUUGAGGCUCGAAAGCGUGGGGAGCGAACAGGAUUAGAUACCCUUGUAGUC
rnacentral:rRNA from 1 species